GCCAGCCAUGGUGGCUCACACCUGUAAUCCCAGUUACUUGGGAGGCUGAGGUAGGAGGAUUAUAAGUUUGAGGCCAGCCUCCACAAUUUAUCAAGACCCUAUCUCAA
rnacentral:sRNA from 1 species